UAAGUCUCGCUUUGUCUUGUUGCGAUAUCUUUGAGCGAAAAGAAAUCACAGUACACCCUUGCUGUUCACAGACUGAGCAGAAAAAAAUACAUUUGGAUGAUUGAUAAUAUACGGGUGCAGAGUUGCAAUGCCACACCCAGUUGAAGUUUAUGGUCAAACUAAACAUAAAACAAAGGGAAUUACACCUUGUGCUAUUAAAAACAGCCCCAUAUCUUAGCUUUUCAGACCGAUAGUUUCAUGCGGACAGUAUUAGCAUUGACACUUGCAUCAGUCCUUUCACCCUUUAUGCUGCGGUCAGACUGAACUCGAGCUGUUUCUGACGCAGCAUUUCCAUAUAUAGUCCAUGCAGUUUUCAUGGUCAGGCACCAAUGCAUGCCCGUCGGCACAGAUGAAGCACUUGAAGUGAAUUUAUUUAUUUAUUUAUUUUGCCUCUUCGCCUAUUUUGCUGGGGUUUGCAUUUUCUGCAUCGCAUACAGCCAAUCUGCGUAGAUAAUGUACUUAAGUUGACCGGGCAAGUAAUUGGUUGAGCUCUAAAUAUUAGUGCUGGAUCGACGAGCCUAGAGAGGAGACGUUUCAAUGAAGCGUUAUUAUGAAUCCUACAGUUCUACGCAGGUUGUGCUCCGCUGCAAUCUGAUUGGCUGCUGCAUCCAGGCAAGACUGUUUUGAAGUGGAAUUCAUAGUAACAUCUCAUUUGUCUUUUACUGCCACCAGGUGGCCAAGGCAUGCACACUUGAAAGAGGAGCACUUUCAACUGAUGCAGUGUGACAAAAACAGUUUAAUUCUUAAUAAUGAUGUAAUUACUCUGUUUUUAUGAAGUGCAAUAUUAUGGAGUGCUGUUUUACUUUCAAAUACACCUGAAUUAUUCUGUGAGUAAUUGAUGCUAAAAGGUAAUUGCCUGUAGAUGAUACAAGAUGGCAGGCCAAAGCACUUUUUUUGUAUUGAAGAAAGGAUGUGGCCUGACGAAAUGACGAAAUGGCAUAAGAUAGUGCCAAAGCAAUUUUUUUAGAUUAAACAUGGCUUUGGCUUGAGCACAAGAACUAUACUCUAGGCAAGUUUUUCAUCAAAAGCCUUAAGACAAUUAUUUAGUGAAAGUUGAAUUUGUGAAAAUGUGGUGUUUCAAUGUAAACGGUCUCAUUUAAUCUGAUCAAGUGGUUAAAAAAAACCAAAAUCAUGUACUUCGUAUAUAUGUCAGUGAACAUCUGCUGCAUUUGUUUUGUGCUCAGUUUGCUAGCAGCACAUAAACUCUGCAGUUUGGCAGAUGAUUCUCUAAUCCAACCAUUUAUGAAUUGAUGGUCACAAUCUAAAGGGAGAUUAGUGCAUUCAUUUGAAAUUGCCAGCUUUCUAUUCAAUUGUCAUUUUUACCGUGGGUCAAACCAGUGCUGAAAGUAGUAGCUGUCAGAUACGAAAAAGUAUCCCUUUGCCCCAAAAAAUAAAAUAUAAAAAUCAAAGUAAUAUAAGAACAGGCGGACCGUAUUAUGAGGAAGAAAAGGUUCUAAUUUUAUGAGAAUAAAGUUGCAAUAUUAGGAGAGAAGAAAACAUUUCAAGAGGGGGGGGACUUACAACAAAAUCUUUGACAAAAAGUAAUCGCUGAAUAUUAUGAGGGAAUUUUUUUUAUAUUCUAGCCUUUAUUGGUCUUUUUCAAUGGAAAAAAAUUCACCUUCAAUAUUACAACUAGAUGUGCUCUAACGGUUUACUCUUGGAAUGGAAAAGCUAACACUAUAGAUUCAAAUGUAAAGCAAUGGACAAUUCAUAUAAAUCCAAAUUAUGUAACAGUAGCUUUUAUUUAUUAUAUUUUAUGCUUUUAUUUCUUGUCAAGAUAGUACAUCAUAUUUUAUGUCGGAUUUUUAACCUGAGUUGUUGGUUAAAGUUGUUGAAAUGGUGUAAGUUUUUGCGACCAAUUCCUGUGCAAGUAUUCGCUCCUCAGUAGAUGCAACUACCGAUAUUAAGUACCAAUUCUACUAGUAUUUUGAUACCUAAAAUUUCAAUUAACAUUAUGACAAAUAAUUGCGAAGAAAGACCUUUCUUUCUUUCUGAUGAAUAUGAUGUGUUGCCGAUGCUUGUGUCAUAUCACCAUUUACUGGUGAGGUGGACUAAUGGUUAUUUUUGCCUCUGUUGUGAAAGUGCUAUUUAAAUCAACAUGGAUUGUAUUGUAUCGUAUUAAGUGUCUGUGUUUGGUAUCGGCAGCCUCCAUAAUACCCGAUACCUUGAAAUUCGGCUUGUAUUGGCUCUAUACCAGUUAUCGUACUCGCCCAUCCCUAGAGUAAAGAAUGCUAAUUGUUUUAACCUUAACGUGAUUGUUAAAGUGCAGGCUGCCAUUGUUAGUACUAAUACUCCAUAACUUAGUGUUUCCGAAUGCCAUAUAAAGUUGUACUUCACAUCUUUGCUUUUCCUUAUCCACAUUUCGCAGUAAUGAAUAAAUAAGCAAUGGAGUGGGUGCUACAAAGAAUCUCAUUGUAUACAGUAGAUUCUAAAGUAUAUUCUGGAACUGCCCUUUGAGUUGAAAGAGCAUCUCAAGCCGGAAUGGAUUUGCAAGUGUUUCUGUUUGUUUCAUCAACCUCUGUUUACGUAAUCGCUAUUAAGUACAGUUUGCGUUCAUGUUGUUGGUUUUUU